rnacentral:lncRNA from 1 species
UAAAUGGGUCCAAGUUAGUUUGAGUCAGGAUUCAUGAACACGUUUCACUACUAGAAAAUCUGAAACUUCUUACACCAAUUUUCCUAGGAAAUGCGUCACAAAACUGGUUUUUCUACGCAUUUAUGACAAACACCUGAUGUAGGAAAAUAGCUCGUAGGAAACCCGUUUUCAACGCAUUUCCUACGCAACUUCCUACACAUUUUCUACGAAACUACUACGUCGCAAAUUGCUACGAAUCUCCUACAAUAUAUUUAAUUAUUAUCUUUUAGGAUUUAUUUUUUUGGCUACACAUUUCUGACCAAAAGAAUUAACAAAUUUUACUAACAUUAUUUGUGACCCACUUCCUACAAAUAAAUUAGAAGUGUUGUUCCAAAUUUCCUAGGAAACUGAGUAUUUUUUGUGACCCACUUCCUACAAAUAAAUUAGAAGUAUUGUUACAAAUUUCCUAGGAAACUGAGUAUUUUUUGUGACCCACUUCCUACAAAUAAAUUAGAAGUGUUGUUACAAAUUUCCUACGCAACUUCCUACACAUUUUCUACGAAACUACUACGUCGCAAAUUCAGUUUAACAGUUCGGGUUCAUGGGAAAUUCUUAGUUUUCACGAGUUGGCGUUUUUUUAAAGAAAUAUAUAAUGUGUAUUGUUGUUUAUCUUGGAAUUCAAGUUUUAUAUAUAGUUUAAAUGUGAAAUAAGUAGGGAUCUAGAGCUUUUAGUCAGCGUGAGUCGAAAACGGAUCAUGUUAGAACAUGUUGGGUUAGAAAAUCACAUUAAUUUAUAGCAAACUCAACGGAUUACAACAUGAACUUAAGUGAUGGUAUAGAUGCUCAAACCACAUUAAUUAAUAUUAAGAAUAUAUUAACAGCACAGAAGUUUGGAAUGUAAAAAUUUAGUGAUGUAUUAGUUGGGUCCAAGCUGCCAACACAACUUCUGUCGUUUGAUGUUUUCACCGUGGGUCCGUUCGCAUAUGAGGCCUCCAAGAACACAAUUUGCCCACAUGAAACUAUGGAGGCUUGAUUUGAUCAUAACUUAGAAGCUAAGGAAUUUAAAAGUUUGCUAUGUUAGUUGAAUGAUGUGCCAAUAGUUAAUAAGAUUUACAACACAAAUUGCCCACAUGAAACUAUGGAGGCUAGAUUUAAGCAUAACUUAGAAGUCAAGGAAUUGAAAGAUGUUUGAAUUGUAGUUUGGUAAUUCUGUGGAAGAUCAUGUGCUUUUGCUAUGUAGUGUUUGGUAGAAAGUAAUAUAUAAAUCUACUUUUGAAGCAAAAUUAGAUGAAUUGAUUGGAAUUGUGUUUUCUUUCAACUACCUUAGUUUUAUCUUAUCUAGGUUAUGUGUAGUUCGGCAUCAAGCCACUGGCCAUCUUAUCUCAAUCGGCACUAAACACCCUUCCCCGACAGCAUUGGGGGGGGGGGGGGGGUAACGCGCAUGAAAAGGGAGUGUCCAGAGUGAUGUGUUGGAAUGGUGACGUUCUCGAGGAAAGGGGGCGCCAAACCAUUACACACUUUUAAUGGCUUAGUUAGUGAGAGGUGAACUCCACUACGUACGUGCAUUGACGUAACACUCGUUUUCUAACUUUUUAAUUAGCUUCCAUCAUUUCCCUCCUUAAGUGAACUCGGGAAAGAGCGAAAGAACAUCGAGAUAUAUUAAAGAGAGGAAUGGGUUAUGGGUAUAUUAGACAUUAUUAAAUCUGGUCAUGCAAACAUAGUUAAGAGGGCCUGCCAAAAUUUAAUAGCAGGGCCUCAUUCAAUUUUCCUACGAAAUUAAACAUCCACACCUAACAGAUAACUUUUUUUUUCUUUUUCUUUUUUAAGACCCUAUGGCUCGAACACUUCACUUUCAAGUGAAGCUCCACUUUAACUUCGGGCUUUGUCAAUUUAACCAAAAACCCCAACAAAUAAUAAAUAACUAACAGGUUGCGUCAAGUGUCCAAUUUUGUGAGACCAAUAUUUUUUCCGCUUUUCUUCUUUCAUCACUUUAUAUUCUAUUUCUUAAUUGUAAAAGGUUUAACUCUUAAAUCAUUUCAUCUUAAAGUAUUGUUUUAUAAUUCUUAAAUAUUCAUUUCUAACUAUUUAAUAUUUUCUCUAUCCAAUUUGUAUAAUACACAGAUUUCUAACCUAGUUAUAUAUGACAAAAGAUCAAAUACAAGUAUCCUUAUCAUACAAAACAUACGAAUAGGGUGA